UAAUGAGGGAAGGAAAAGAAACUAACUAGGAUUUUCUUAGUAGCGGCGAGCGAAAAGAAAAGAGUUCAGCACUGAGUUAUAUUUGUUAUUAUUAAUAAAUAUAAGAUGCAGUGUAUGGAAUAUCUAUUAUCUAGUAUGAAAUAUUAACAGUCCAAGUCCUUCUUAAAUGAGGCCAUUUACCCAUAGAGGGUGCCAGGCCCGUAGUGACGUUAAUGAUUACUAGAAGAUAUUUCCUAAGAGUCGUGUUGCUUGAUAGUGCAGCACUAAUUGGGUGGUAAACUCCAUCUAAAACUAAAUAUAACCAUGAGACCGAUAGCAAACAAGUACCGUGAGGGAAAGUUGAAAAGAACUCUGAAUAGAGAGUUAAAUAGUACGUGAAACUGCUUAGAGGUUAAGCCCGAUGAACCUGAAUAUCCAAUAUGAAAAAUUCAAUAUUAAUAGUAUAUUAAGUAAUUUUAAUAUAUAAAUAAUGUGCAAUUUUUUCAUAAAGGACAUUGUAAUCUGUUAAUAUAUAGUAAAUUUAUCAUAAGUAUUGUUUGGAUAGUUUACUUUUCAUUUAUUUUUUUAUUAAAAUAAAUGUAAGUAUAAUCCAAUUUAAAUACAAUUACAGAUAAAUUAUUGACAGAUUUUUAUAUAUAACGCUAACAUUUUUUAUGUUAUAAUAGAAUGAUAAUAAUAUUAUUAUCAUUUUUAUUAUAUGCGUUUAUAUGAUUAACAAUGCUAUAGAUUUAGGAUACCUUCGGGACCCGUCUUGAAACACGGACCAAGGAGUCUAACAUGUGUGCAAGUCAUUGGGUUAUUAUUAAAACCUAAAGGCGUAAUUAACUUAACUAUAUAUUUAUAAAUGGGAUCAAUUUUAUAUUUUUUUUAUUAAAAAUAUAAAUUCCAUCCCGGGGCGUUCUAUAUAGUUAUGCAUUUUAAUAUAUUUUUUAUAUUAUUUAUGCCUCUAACUAGAGCGUACCUUGAGCAUAUAUGUUGUGACCCGAAAGAUGGUGAACUAUACCUGAUCAGGUUGAAGUCAGGGGAAACCCUGAUGGAAGACCGAAACAGUUCUGACGUGCAAAUCGAUUGUCAGAAUUGGGUAUAGGGGCGAAAGACCAAUCGAACCAUCUAGUAGCUGGUUCCCUCCGAAGUUUCCCUCAGGAUAGCUGGUGCAUUUAAAUAUUAUGAAAAAUAAUCUUAUCUGGUAAAGCGAAUGAUUAGAGGCAUUAGGGCCGAAACGACCUUAACCUAUUCUCAAACUUUAAAUGGGUAAGAACCUCACCUUUCUUGAUAUGAAGGUUGAGGUUGUGAUAUAUUGUGCCCAGUGGGCCACUUUUGGUAAGCAGAACUGGCGCUGUGGGAUGAACCAAACGUGAUGUUACGGCGCCCAAAUUAACAACUCAUACUGAUACCAUGAAAGGCGUUGCUUGCUUAAAACAGCAGGACGGUGGACAUGGAAGUCGUAAUCCGCUAAGGAGUGUGUAAUAACUCACCUGCCGAAGCAACUAGCCCUUAAAAUGGAUGGCGCUCAAGUUGUAUGCCUAUACAUCACCGCUAAAGCAUAUGAUUUAUAAAAUUAAAUUUUUUUAUUUUAUAAAUUUUGAAGCUUUAGUGAGUAGGAGGGUACAAUGGUGUGCGUAGAAGUGUUUGGCGUGAGCCUGCAUGGAGCCGCCAUUGGCACAGAUCUUGGUGGUAGUAGCAAAUAAUCGAAUGAGACCUUGGAGGACUGAAGUGGAGAAGGGUUUCGUGUGAACAGUGGUUGAUCACGAGUUAGUCGGUCCUAAGUUCAAGGCGAAAGCCGAAAAAUUUUAAGUUUAAUAAUAAUAUUAUUAUAAUAAUAUACUUAAAAUUUGAACGAAAGGGAAUACGGUUCCAAUUCCGUAACCUGUUGAGUAUACGUUUGUUAUUAAAAAUGGGCUUUUAUGCUCAUCCUGGUAACAGAAACAACCAUAAAGAAGCCGUCGAGAGGUAUCGGAAGAGUUUUCUUUUCUGUUUUAUAGUUGUACUACCAUGGAAGUCUUUCGAAGAGAGAUAUGGUAGAUGGACUAGAAGAGCAUGGCAUUUACUGCUGUGUCGAUACUUUCUCCUCGGACCUUGAAAAUUUAUGGUAGGGUCACGCAAACUUCUUAACAGGCCGUACCGAUAUCCGCAGCUGUCUCCAAGGUAAAAUCUCUUAUUCCAUAGAAU
rnacentral:rRNA from 1 species